rnacentral:rRNA from 1 species
GUGAGGAAUAUUGCGCAAUGGAGGCAACUCUGACGCAGCCAUGCCGCGUGCAGGAAGAAGGCGCUACGCGUUGUAAACUGCUUUUAACCGGGAAGAAACCCCAGGACGUGUCCUGGGUUGACGGUACCGGAGGAAUAAGCACCGGCUAACUUCGUGCCAGCAGCCGCGGUAAUACGAAGGGUGCAAGCGUUAUCCGGAUUCAUUGGGUUUAAAGGGUGCGUAGGCGGAGCGUUAAGUCAGUGGUGAAAUCCUGCAGCUUAACUGUAGACUUGCCAUUGAUACUGGCGCUCUUGAGUGCGCUUGAAGUGGGCGGAAUGUGCCGUGUAGUGGUGAAAUGCUUAGAUAUGGCACAGAACACCAAUUGCGAAGGCAGCUCACUAAGGCGAUACUGACGCUGAGGCACGAAAGCGUGGGGAUCGAACAGGAUUAGAAACCCCAGUAGUCC